UACGUAGGGUGCAAGCGUUGUCCGGAAUUAUUGGGCGUAAAGAGCUCGUAGGCGGUCUGUCGCGUCUGCUGUGAAAACUCAGGGCUUAACCCUGAGCUUGCAGUGGGUACGGGCAGACUAGAGUGCGGUAGGGGAGACUGGAAUUCCUGGUGUAGCGGUGAAAUGCGCAGAUAUCAGGAGGAACACCGAUGGCGAAGGCAGUUCUCUGGGCCGUAACUGACGCUGGAGGAGCGAAAGCGUGGGGAGCGAACAGG
rnacentral:rRNA from 1 species